rnacentral:rRNA from 1 species
UACGAAGGGUGCAAGCGUUACUCGGAAUUACUGGGCGUAAAGCGCGCGUAGGCGGGUUGGUAAGUCCGCUGUGAAAGCCCGGAGCUCAACUCCGGAGGGUCGGUGGAUACUGCCAGUCUUGAAGGUGCUAGGGGGAGAUGGAAUUACCGGUGUAGCGGUGAAAUGCGUAGAUAUCGGUAGGAACACCAGUGGCGAAGGCGGUCUCCUGGGGCAUUCUUGACGCUGAGGCGCGAAAGCUGGGGGAGCAAACGGG